GGACAAAACCUUCGCCGACGAUGAGGAGUUCGGAGCAUGUGGCUACACACCUCGUAAGAAAUCCCAGGAUGAUGCUUUUGAGGAUGUUGAAGAGAUAAAGAGCCGUCUUCACUCAACCAGCCAGGCUGCUUUCAUGGACGAUGAGCACUUCCAGAAGACACACUGCAGCGGACCGCAUGGAGAUGAAGAUGAAUACGGAGUUCAAGACUGCAAACCGAAGAAGCCAUCAAAGAUGAAGUUGCCACGUGUGGGCCGUCGAAGUUCACAGGAGAACAUGCUGGAUGACAGGAGUCCCUCGAAAAAGAAGGGCAGCUUCUCAGCAGAGGAGUUAGACGACGAAGACCUUGCCGAUGUGAAAAUGGUUCCUAUCCGAUUCACACUAUUAUUUUCUUUCUUGAUUUUUACCCCGCAGAUAUUCUUCAUAGUGUGCACUUUGUUUUUCAC
rnacentral:lncRNA from 1 species